ensembl:ribozyme RNaseP_nuc Nuclear RNase P
AGUGGGCGGAAGCUCACUGUAGAAGCUACACACUGAGUACAUCGUUACUCUCUACUAGGCUUCGGGGAAGGUCUGAGACUAGAGCCAUCUGCUGUCCUUGCAGGACAUCACUUGAUUCAAGUGAGCGAGUGCACAGAAAAUAUGGGCCUACACGAGGUUAAUAGCAGAAGACGUUGUUAGUUGCCGAUAUAGUGCACUACCAAUUGAUGCAACCUCGUUGGCUUGGAACCGCUCGCGGCUAGCGAUUGAGUUCGAUGUGUGAGCUGGUAUAUGAAUCCAGAACCCAAUUCAGACUACUCUCCCUCCGCU